CUGGCGGCACGCCUAACACAUGCAAGUCGAACGAAGUAGCAAUACUUAGUGGCAGACGGGUGAGUAACAUGUAGGUAUCUGCCCUUUGGCCUGGAAUAACACGAGGAAACUUGUGCUAAUACUGGAUAAGUCUUUACGGAGAAAGCUUUAUGCACCAUUGGAUGAGCCUGCACUUGAUUAGUUUGUUGGUGGGGUAAUGGCCUACCAAGACUGUGAUCAAUAGCUGAUUUGAGAGGAUGAUCAGCCACAUUGGGACUGAGACACGGCCCAAACUCCUACGGGAGGCAGCAGUGGGGAAUCUUGCACAAUGGAGGAAACUCUGAUGCAGCGAUGCCGCGUGAGUGAAGAAGGCCUUUGGGUUGUAAAGCUCUUUCGUCGGGGAAGAAAAUGACUGUACCCGAAUAAGAAGGUCCGGCUAACUUCGUGCCAGCAGCCGCGGUAAUACGAAGGGACCUAGCGUAGUUCGGAAUUACUGGGCUUAAAGAGUUCGUAGGUGGUUGAAAUAGUUGGUGGUGAAAUCCCAGAGCUUAACUCUGGAACUGCCAUCAAAACUUUUCAGCUAGAGUAUGAUAGAGGAAAGCAGAAUUUCUAGUGUAGAGGUGAAAUUCGUAGAUAUUAGAAAGAAUACCAAUUGCGAAGGCAGCUUUCUGGAUCAUUACUGACACUGAGGAACGAAAGCAUGGGUAGCGAAGAGGAUUAGAUACCCUCGUAGUCCAUGCCGUAAACGAUGUGUGUUAGACGUUGGAAAUUUAUUUUCAGUGUCGCAGCGAAAGCGAUAAACACACCGCCUGGGGAGUACGACCGC
rnacentral:rRNA from 1 species